GUGCGUGGCUCAGUGGUAGAGCACUUACCUAGCAUGCAUGAGGCACUGGGUUCCAUCCUCAGCGCCACA
rnacentral:tRNA from 1 species